rnacentral:pre_miRNA from 11 species
GAGCGCACGGGAUAAUCUACUAUUGCGUGCGGUCGGUAUAAUUGGACCGCACGGGAUAAUAUAUUAUCCCGUGUGGUG